rnacentral:rRNA from 1 species
GCAUAUCCAAUAAGCGGAGGAAAAGAAACCAACAGGGAUUGCCCCCAGUUAACGGCGAAGUGAAGCGGCAACAGCUCAAAUUUGAAAUCUGGCCCCCAGGGCCCGAGUUGUAAUUUGCAGAGGAUGCUUUUGGCGCGGCGCCUUCCGAGUUCCCUGGAACGGGACGCCAUAGAGGGUGAGAGCCCCGUCUGGUCGGACGCCAAGCCAGUGUAAAGCUCCUUCGACGAGUCGAGUAGUUUGGGAAUGCUGCUCUAAAUGGGAGGUAUAUGUCUUCUAAAGCUAAAUAUAGGCCAGAGACCGAUAGCGCACAAGUAGAGUGAUCGAAAGAUGAAAAGCACUUUGAAAAGAGGGUUAAACAGUACGUGAAAUUGUUGAAAGGGAAGCACUUGUGACCAGACUUGGGCCCGGUGAAUCAUCCAGCGUUCUCGCUGGUGCACUUCGCCGGGCCCAGGCCAGCAUCAGUUCGCCGCGGGGGAUAAAAGCUUCGGGAACGUAGCUCCCUCGGGAGUGUUAUAGCCCGUUGCAUAAUACCCUGCGGUGGACUGAGGUUCGCGCUCCGCAAGGAUGCUGGCGUAAUGGUCACCAGUGACCCGUCUUGAAACACGGACCAAGGAGUCGUCUUCGUAUGCGAGUGUUCGGGUGUCAAACCCCUACGCGUAAUGAAAGUGAACGCAGGUGAGAGCUUCGGCGCAUCAUCGACCGAUCCUGAUGUUCUCGGAUGGAUUUGAGUAAGAGCAUACGGGGCCGGACCCGAAAGAAGGUGAACUAUGCCUGUAUAGGGUGAAGCCAGAGGAAACUCUGGUGGAGGCUCGCAGCGGUUCUGACGUGCAAAUCGAUCGUCAAAUAUGGGCAUGGGGGGCGAAAGACUAAUCGAACCUUCUAGUAGCUGGUUUCCGCCGA